rnacentral:rRNA from 1 species
AUUGAACGCUGGCGGCAUGCUUUACACAUGCAAGUCGAACGGUAACAGGGAGCUUGCUCCGCUGACGAGUGGCGAACGGGUGAGUAAUGCAUCGGAACGUACCCAGUCGUGGGGGAUAACGUAGCGAAAGUUACGCUAAUACCGCAUACGUCCUGAGGGAGAAAGCGGGGGACCGUAAGGCCUCGCGCGAUUGGAGCGGCCGAUGUCGGAUUAGCUAGUUGGUGGGUAAAGGCCUACCAAGGCGACGAUCCGUAGCGGGUCUGAGAGGAUGAUCCGCCACACUGGGACUGAGACACGGCCCAGACUCCUACGGGAGGCAGCAGUGGGGAAUUUUGGACAAUGGGGGCAACCCUGAUCCAGCCAUGCCGCGUGAGUGAAGAAGGCCUUCGGGUUGUAAAGCUCUUUCAGACGGAAAGAAAACGCAUCGGUGAAUACCCGGUGUGGAUGACGGUACCGUAAGAAGAAGCACCGGCUAACUACGUG